GAUGAAGAACGUAGCGAAAUGCGAUAAGUAGUGUGAAUUGCAGAAUUCAGUGAAUCAUCGAAUCUUUGAACGCACAUUGCGCCCCUUGGUAUUCCAUGGGGCAUGCCUGUUCGAGCGUCAUUAUCCUCCCUCAAACCUCGGGUUUGGUGUUGGACCCAAGUUGUGUGAACAACUGGUCUUAAAGACAAUGACGGCGUCCGUGGGACCCUCGGUGCAACGAGCUUUUAGGAGCACGCGCCGAGUUUCAAGGACCUUCCGGGCCGGUCUCCUUUACCAUUUUACAAGGUUGACCUCGGAUCAGGUAGGAAUACCCGCUGAACUUAAGCAUAUCAAUAAGCGGAGGA
rnacentral:misc_RNA from 1 species